CACUAAGAAGCUAAACAGGACGAUAGCAUUAGCCUUUUAAGCUAAAGAUUGGUGACCUCCAACCACCCUUAGUGA